GUUGCAAAAACCGUGACACUUGGACAUAUAGCUGUAAGUAACCUAAUUUGAGAAUUUUAUAGAAUGGACAAAUAAAAAAAUGUGAGUAGCGUUCAUUUCGAAUUUUUAAAAUAUUGGUAGAUUUCUACAGGGAAACGCCGGAUUGGACAAUUGAGUACAGUAGCAUAGUGGCAAUAACUGCGGCAUAGCAGCUCUAAAACUGUGCCGCUACCCAACACAUUGUUUUUCUCCCGGCCGUAUCACAAGGACAUUGAUACUUAGACAUAAGGUCGUAAAGAACCUAUAUGAUAGGUUUUAGAUAUUUUUAAGAAUGGACAAAUAUAAAAAGUGUGUAAAAAGCGUUAAUUUAG